UUUUUAUUAGAUGAUGUCUGUCACGUGUCAUAUUUUGAUUCGUCAAUGAAAAUAAUAAUAAUACAUUUCUUUUUUUAUGGAGUUGAAAUCCAAUUAAAAGGAAUGAAACUGUUAUGUUAAUGUACC
rfam:Glycine soja cultivar W05 scaffold2015_42, whole genome shotgun sequence.